GGCGCUGUAGCUUAGUGGUUAAAGCACUUGUCUCGUAAACAGGAGACCCUGGGUUCAAAUCCCAGCAGCGCCU
rnacentral:tRNA from 1 species